CCAGACUCCUACGGGAGGCAGCAGUGAGGAAUAUUGGUCAAUGGGCUUACGCCUGAACCAACCAAGUCGCGUGAGGGACGACUGCCCUAUGGGUUGUAAACCUCUUUUAUAAGGGAAGAAUAAAUGCUACGUGUAGCAUGAUGCCUGUACCUUAUGAAUAAGCAUCGGCUAACUCCGUGCCAGCAGCCGCGGUAAUACGGAGGAUGCGAGCGUUAUCCGGAUUUAUUGGGUUUAAAGGGUGCGCAGGCGGCACGGCAAGCCGGCGGUCAAAUCGCGGGGCUCAACCCCGCCCAGCCGUCGGAACUGCCGGGCUAGAGUGGGCGAGAAGUGCGCGGAAUGCGUGGCGUAGCGGUGAAAUGCAUAGAUAUCACGCAGAACUCCGAUUGCGAAGGCAGCGCACCGGCGCCCUACUGACGCUCAGGCACGAAAGCGUGGGUAUCGAACAGGAUUAGAUACCCGAGUA
rnacentral:rRNA from 1 species